rnacentral:rRNA from 1 species
GCCCAGCUUGCUGGGCGGAUCAGUGGCGAACGGGUGAGUAACACGUGAGCAACCUGCCCUCCACUUCGGGAUAAGCCCUGGAAACGGGGUCUAAUACCGGAUAUGAGCCCCUGCUGCAUGGUGGGGGUUGGAAAGUUUUUCGGUGGGGGAUGGGCUCGCGGCCUAUCAGCUUGUUGGUGGGGUGAUGGCCUACCAAGGCGUCGACGGGUAGCCGGCCUGAGAGGGCGACCGGCCACACUGGGACUGAGACACGGCCCAGACUCCUACGGGAGGCAGCAGUGGGGAAUAUUGCACAAUGGGCGCAAGCCUGAUGCAGCGACGCCGCGUGAGGGAUGACGGCCUUCGGGUUGUAAACCUCUUUCAGCAGGGAAGAAGCGCAAGUGACGGUACCUGCAGAAGAAGCGCCGGCUAACUACGUGCCAGCAGCCGCGGUAAUACGUAGGGCGCAAGCGUUGUCCGGAAUUAUUGGGCGUAAAGAGCUCGUAGGCGGUCUGUCGCGUCUGGUGUGAAAACCCGAGGCUCAACCUCGGGCUUGCAUCGGGUACGGGCGGACUAGAGUGCUGUAG